rnacentral:rRNA from 1 species
AACGAACGCUGGCGGCAGGCCUAACACAUGCAAGUCGAGCGCCCGCAAGGGAGCGGCAGACGGGUGAGUAACGCGUGGGAAUUUACCCCGAGGUACGGAACAACUCGGCGAAAGCUGAGCUAAUACCGUAUGUGACCGAGAGGUGAAAGAUUUAUCGCCUCGGGAUGAGCCCGCGUAGGAUUAGCCGGUUGGUGGGGUAAUGGCCCACCAAGGCGACGAUCCUUAGCUGGUCUGAGAGGAUGAUCAGCCACACUGGGACUGAGACACGGCCCAGACUCCUACGGGAGGCAGCAGUGGGGAAUAUUGGACAAUGGGGGCAACCCUGAUCCAGCCAUGCCGCGUGAGUGAUGAAGGCCUUAGGGUUGUAAAGCUCUUUCGCCCGCGACGAUAAUGACUGUAGCGAGAGAAGAAGCCCCGGCUAACUUCGUGCCAGCCGCCGCCGUAAAAC